rnacentral:rRNA from 1 species
UGAGGAAUAUUGCGCAAUGGGCGAAAGCCUGACGCAGCAACGCCGCGUGGAGGAUGACGGCCUUCGGGUCGUAAACUCCUUUUCUGCCGGAGGAGCAAGGACCGUACGGCAGGAAUAAGUCUCGGCUAACUACGUGCCAGCAGCCGCGGUAAAACGUAGGAGGCAAGCGUUACCCGGAUUUACUGGGCGUAAAGCGUGUGCAGGCGGCACGACAGGUCGGGCGUGAAAGCCCUCGGCUCAACUGGGGGAGGCCGUCCGAAACCGUCGGGCUUGAGCACCGGAGAGGGACGUGGAAUUCCCGGUGGAGCGGUGAAAUGCGUAGAGAUCGGGAGGAACACCAGUGGCGCAGGCGGCGUCCUGGCCGGUUGCUGACGCUCAGACACGAAAGCUUGGGGAGCGAACGGG